GGCCGGUUAGCUCAGUGGUUUGAGCGUGGUGCUGACAACAAUGACAACACUGAGGUCAUGGGUUCGAUUCCCGCGCUUGCCU
rnacentral:tRNA from 1 species